GACGAACGCUGGCGGCGCGCCUAACACAUGCAAGUCGAACGGAGCUGAGAGAAGCUUGCUUUUCUUAGCUUAGUGGCGAACGGGUGAGUAACGCGUGAGUAACCUGCCCUGGAGUGGGGGACAACAGUUGGAAACGACUGCUAAUACCGCAUAAGCCCACGAUCCGGCAUCGGAUUGAGGGAAAAGGAUUUAUUCGCUUCAGGAUGGACUCGCGUCCAAUUAGCUAGUUGGUGAGGUAACGGCCACCAAGGCGACGAUUGGUAGCCGGACUGAGAGGUUGAACGGCCACAUUGGGACUGAGACACGGCCCAGACUCCUACGGGAGGCAGCAGUGGGGGAUAUUGCACAAUGGGGGAAACCCUGAUGCAGCGACGCCGCGUGGAGGAAGAAGGUUUUCGGAUUGUAAACUCCUGUCGUGAGGGACGAUAAUGACGGUACCUAACAAGAAAGCACCGGCUAACUACGUG
rnacentral:rRNA from 1 species